UACAGAGGGGGCAAGCGUUGUUCGGAAUUACUGGGCGUAAAGGGCGCGUAGGCGGCCUUCUAAGUCGAACGUGAAAUCCCCGGGCUCAACCCGGGAAUUGCGUCCGAUACUGGGAGGCUUGAAUCCGGGAGAGGGAUGUGGAAUUCCAGGUGUAGCGGUGAAAUGCGUAGAUAUCUGGAGGAACACCGGUGGCGAAGGCGGCAUCCUGGACCGGUAUUGACGCUGAGGCGCGAAAGCCAGGGGAGCAAACGGG
rnacentral:rRNA from 1 species